rnacentral:rRNA from 1 species
GACGAACGCUGGCGGCGUGCUUAACACAUGCAAGUCGAACGGUGACGGAGAGCUUGCUCUCCUGAUCAGUGGCGAACGGGUGAGUAACACGUGGGCAACCUGCCCCAGACUUCGGGAUAACGCUUCGAAAGAGGUGCUACUACCGGCUACGAACUCCUUGGGCACCCUUGGAGUUGGAAAGUUUUUCGGUCUGGGAUGGGCCCGCGGCCUCUCAGGUUGUGGGUGAGGGAACGGCUCACCAAGGCGACGACGCGUAGCCGGCCUGAGAGGGCGACCGGCCACACUGGGACUGAGACAGGGCCCAGACUCCUACGGGAGGCAGCAGUGGGGAAUAGUGCGCAAUGGGCGAAAGCCUGACGCAGCAACGCCGCGUGGGUGAUGAAGGCCCUAGGGUUGUAAAGCCCUUUCAGCGGGGAAGAUAAUGACGGUACCCGCAGAAGAAGCCCCGGCUAACUUCGUGCCAGCCGCCGCGGUAAAGA